AGCAGCCGCGGUAAUUCCAGCUCCAAUAGCGUAUAUUAAAGUUGUUGCAGUUAAAAAGCUCGUAGUUGAAUUUCGGGAUUGACGUGAUGGUCGUGCCUUAAGGGGUAUGAACUGUCGCAGUUGAUUUCUCACCUUCUGGAGAAGCAUGAUGUCCUUAAUCGGGUGUCAUGUGGAACCAGGACCUUUACCUUGAAAAAAUUAGAGUGUUUAAAGCAGGCAUUUUGCUCGAAUACAUUAGCAUGGAAUAAUAGAAUAGGACGGCAUGGUUCUAUUUUGUUGGUUUCUAGGAUCACCGUAAUGAUUAAUAGGGAUAGUUGGGGGCAUUAGUAUUCAAUUGUCAGAGGUGAAAUUCUUGGAUUUAUUGAAGACUAACUACUGCGAAAGCAUUUGCCAAGGAUGUUUUCAUUAAUCAAGAACGAAAGUUAGGGGAUCGAAGACGAUCAGAUACCGUCGUAGUCUUAACCAUAAACUAUGCCGACU
rnacentral:rRNA from 1 species